UUACGGGAGGCAGCAGUGGGGAAUAUUGGACAAUGGGCGGAAGCCUGAUCCAGCCAUGCCGCGUGAGUGAAGAAGGCCUUCGGGUGUAAAGCUCUUCAGAUGCGAAGAUGAUGACGUA
rnacentral:rRNA from 1 species